GGAAAGAUGGGUCCUCAGGCGCCGGUAAUAGUUCGGUGGGAAGGUUGGUCCGGUUUGAUUGGGCGUAAAGGGAGCGGAUGGGGUGUGUUAAGUCUGAGUUGAAGGCCCACGGCUGAACCGUGGAGGGUCAUUGGAAACUGGGAAACUUGAGUACAGAAGAGGAAUGUGGAACUCCAUGUGUAGCGGUGGAAUGCGUAGAUAUAUGGAAGAACACCAGUGGCGAAGGCGACAUUCUGGUCUGUUACUGACACUGAGGCUCGAAAGCGUGGGGAGCAAACAGGAUUAGAUACCCCGGUAGUC
rnacentral:rRNA from 1 species